GGCCCGUUGGUCAAGCGGUUAAGACUCCGCCCUCUCAAGGCGGCUACAGCAGUUCGAAUCUGCUACGGGUCACCA
rnacentral:tRNA from 1 species